AUUGAACGCUGGCGGCAGGCCUAACACAUGCAAGUCGAGCGGAGCGGCGGACGGGUGAGUAAUGCCUAGGAAUCUGCCUGGUCGUGGGGGAUAACGUCCGGAAACGGGCGCUAAUAUCGCCUACUAUCCGCUGAGCCUAGGUCGGAUUAGCUAGUUGGUGGGGUAAAGGCCUACCACGGCGACGAUCCGUAACUGGUCUGAGAGGAUGAUCCGUCACACUGGAACUGAUACACGGUGCAGACUCCUACGGGAGGCAGCAGUGGGGAAUAUUGGACAAUGGGCGAAAGCCUGAUCCAGCCAUGCCGCGUGUGUGAAGAAGGUCUUCGGAUUGUAAAGCACUUUAAGUUGGGAGGCGUUACCAACAGAAUAAGCACCGGCUAACUUCGUGCCAGCAGCCGCGGUAAUUC
rnacentral:rRNA from 1 species